AAAAUUAAUUAUUACAGUUUAGGGACAUGUAGUAAACUGUUCAGUUCAAGUAAGGUGGCAAUGUAUGUCUUAGCUAUGAUGGUGCACCCAAUGCUCAUCCUUUCCUUCAGUUUUAAGAUCAAGACCACAUAGUUUAGUGUCCCUUAUUUUUCACUUGCUUAUGUUGAUCUCUCUUUUAUAGGGAUUGCCUGGACCUGAAGGACCGUCAGGUUUACCUGGAGCACUUGGGCCUAAGGGCAACAAAGGUGAACAAGGUCCACAAGGGAAACUAGGAGCUGCAGGCGUUAAGGGAGAACAAGGGAUGCCAGGUACGCCAGGUGAACCAGGCUAUCCCGGUAUGCCUGGCACACUGGGUUUAAAGGUAUGUCUGUUACCAGUUAAAGGACUCUGAUAUAUUUAUUAAUUAUUUUGUUACAUGGUAGUUUACCCUGAUAAGGGUAAAAAGUGAAGUUCUGUUCCUUUAUAGCAAGGAGGUAGUUAUGAAUUAUUGUUAUUGAUAAGGUAAUGAUU
ensembl:lncRNA